AGACUGAACGCUGGCGGCAUGCCUAACACAUGCAAGUCGAACGGCAGCACAGCCCCGCAAGGGGUGGGUGGCGAGUGGCGGACGGGUGAGGAAUACAUCGGAAUCUGCCCUGUUGUGGGGGAUAACCCAUCGAAAGGUGGGCUAAUACCGCAUGAGACGGUGACGUGAAAGCGGGGGACCUGUGAGGGCCUCGCGCGACGGGAUGAGCCGAUGUCGGAUUAGCUAGUUGGUAGGGUAAAGGCCUACCAAGGCGACGAUCCGUAGCUGGUCUGAGAGGAUGAUCAGCCACACUGGGACUGAGACACGGCCCAGACUCCUACGGGAGGCAGCAGUGGGGAAUAUUGGACAAUGGGCGCAAGCCUGAUCCAGCAAUGCCGCGUGUGUGAAGAAGGCC
rnacentral:rRNA from 1 species